AGGGACCCUGCAGAGCUGAAACUUAGAGAUGUGAAGAGGGAGUGCUCCUCAGCUGGCGUUGGUGAGAGGAGUUGAAAGGAGUCCCAUGGACCUGAGACCUGAAAAGGAGACACUUCUAAAAAUGAGGUGUGGGGCAGCUCCCACCCCCUGGCCACUGCUCCAUGGAAACCUCAUAGGACUGAAAGGCCACCAUCAAAAAUGCGGCUACCAGAGGCUGAAAGGAAGAUGGCGGCGUGAGCAGACGUUGAACUCGCCUCCUCCCAGGAACACAACCAGGUUGCAACAAUUUUUGGAAGAAUUACCCUGGAUUGAAAACUGGAAACUGGAUAAAAAGAACUCCCAUGACAAGAGACACUCCUGAUGAAGGCAGAAGAGGCAGUAAUUCCGACCAGAGAGGAAAAAAGCCACCUUUGGGAGCAGCGGAGCUUCUCAGCUGGCCAGGCGGGAGCCAACCUAAGGAUCCCAUCCAGGACGUCACAGUCAUUACAUCUAGUCGUCAAGUUUCUUUAGGUUCUUCUUGGCUGUGACAGUUUCUCAGACUUUCCUUGUUUUUAAAGACGACAUUUUGAGGCGUACUGGUCAGGGAAAGUUCCUUCCAUGUCACCUUGCAAAGAGAGGAUAGCCAUCCAGCACAUCUGUGUCCUCCAGAAAUGGGUCAAACUCUGGCACCAAUAAAGAGAAGGAUCAAAGGAGUCCAGGGAAAGUCUUGGGUGAAGGUGGAAUUAUCCACAAGCCCCUCAAGAUAUCAAGAUACCAUUGUGAACGUUGCCAGUGCUUGUAAAGCGGCCUGUGGAUCUUUCAAUAAAGCAGCAUCAAGUAAGAGGCAGUGCCCGUCAUUUCCUAGAAGCGCUGGAAGUAUGUUGGUGGGACCACCUUGCCAAGAAGGGGACUCAGCAAAGUGUGUGGUCUGAAAGGCACCAAUAAAUGGAUAGAGGGAAAGAGAGCCAGAACAACUGCCUGGGGUUUCCUUCUGAUGGUCCUCAGAGGCUGCUUACUCCAGAAAGCCCUCCCUGGUCCCUGGGCUAGCCUGGGCUGGGCAUCUCUAUGCACAUAAGGCUGUGAACUCUCAUUCACUUAUCAACAAAUAUUUACUCAUCCCCUAAUAUGAGUCAAGCACUGAGCUAGGUGCUAAGGAUAAACAGAGGAAUUAUACCCUGAGAUCUCAAAACUCACAUCCCAAGAAAUGGAGAAGGAGGGUGAGGGAUCACAAACAUAUCACAUGCAAUUACAAUACCUAAGUCGAUAGAUGACAACAGGCGAGACAGAAUAAGAACUGCUCAGGCUAGGAGGCAAAGGAAGGCAGUGUGGACAAGGAGGCAUCUAAGCAGAGUCUUAAAGGAUGACAAUUAACCCUCCAAUUCCGCUCCUUGACCGUUCUUCAUACGAUCUAUUACAAUAUUACCAUUUUCUUCUCUUUCCUUUACUCAGCUACUUUUUUCUCCUUAAUUUCUCUUAUAGACACAUUUUUGACUUGCUCACUGUAUCAGUCAAGGUGCCACCAGAAAAACAGAACCAGUAGGAUAUAUAUAAAGGGAUAGAAGGUAUAUAUAGAGAGAGAUGAAGAUACAGAGAGAAAGAUUUAUUGCAAGGAAUUGGCAUAUGCAAUUGUAGGAGUUGGCUAGGCAAGUCUGAAAUCCUUGAGGCAGGCUGUCGGGGAGGAAGGCUGGAAACCCUCCUGCAGGAGCCGAUGCUGCAGUCCACAGGUGGAAUUCCUUCUUCCUCUGGGAAACCUUAGUUCUGUUCUUAAGGCCUUGCAACUGAUUAGAUCAGACCUACACAGAUUUUAUGCCCCAUAGUCAUUUAGAAAGAUGGUAAAUGCAAGGCACAUUUGUUUAGAAAUUAAUGAAAGAUGAAAACAUGGGACUUUUGGACCCCAGAAAACCAAAAAGCAACUUCCAUUCCUAACCUUUCCUUCCUUUCUCCUUUAAGUGUACAGAAAAAUAAUUAAAUACUCAAGCCCUGUAAUCAACUAGAUUUGAAAUCUAGGUUAUGUAGCCUUUGGCAAUUUCAUAACCACUGUGAACCUCAGUCUCUUCAUCUACAGCAUGGGAAAAUAAUAAACCUUACCUCAGACAGUUGCUGUGAGGAUAAAAUGAGAAAUACAUGCAAAAGCACUUAGCACAAAGACAAGUAUAUUAUGAAUUUUUUUAAGUUGGCUA
rnacentral:lncRNA from 1 species